rnacentral:rRNA from 1 species
GAUGGACGCUGGCGGCAUGCCUAACACAUGCAAGUCGGACGGGAAGUGGUGGUUCUUGUGGCGGACGGGUGAGCAACGCGCAAGAACCUGCCCUGGGGAGGGGAACAAUAGCUGGAAACGGCUGCUAAUAGCCCGUAGGCUGAGGAGCAAAAGGCGGAAUCCGCCCGAGGGGGGGCUCGCGUCUGAUUAGCUUGUUGGUGAGGCAAUAGCUUACCAAGGCGAAGGUGAGUAGCUGGUCCGAGAGGAUGAUCAGCCACACUGGGACUGAGACACGGCCCAGACUCCUUCCCGAGACAGCCGUGAGGCUUUUUCCGCAAUGCGCGAUAGCCUGACGGAGCCAUGCCGCCUGAAGGUAGUAGUCCUACGGGUCGUGAACUUCUUUUCCCGCUGAAGACGCAAUGACGGUAUCUGGGGAGUAAGCAUCGGCUAACUCUGUG